rnacentral:rRNA from 1 species
AUGAGCAACUGGACAACAGGGAGGAGCCUGGUGGAGGGUCCUGCUGGUGGAGGGCGGAGGAGGAGGGGCCUGCUGCUGGCGACGGGGACGAGCAGCUGGACGACAGGGAGGAGCCUGACGGAGGCUCCUACUGGUGGAGGGUGGAGGAGGAGGAGGAGGAUGGGCUUGCUCCUGGUCUGGACGAUCAGCUGGAGGAGGAGGAGGGGCUUGCUGCUGGCCUGGAUGCGCUGCCCUGGAGGAAGACAACGAGGAAGACGACGAUCUGAUUUCAAGUUAGGGGUAGUUCUGUACUUUCGUUCAUUUUCACCUGGUUGGAGAUUUCUCCCAGCGACAAUUAUUUCGGAACGGAGGAAGUAUUAUCGAUCCCCCGAUCGUUAUUGUACACGGAUGCAGAAUAUCUGCUCGUGA